rnacentral:rRNA from 1 species
UACGUAGGGUGCGAGCGUUGUCCGGAAUUAUUGGGCGUAAAGAGCUUGUAGGCGGUUUGUUGCGUCUGCUGUGAAAAUCCGGGGCUCAACCCCGGACUUGCAGUGGGUACGGGCAGACUAGAGUGUGGUAGGGGAGACUGGAAUUCCUGGUGUAGCGGUGGAAUGCGCAGAUAUCAGGAAGAACACCCGUGGCGAAGGCGGCUUUCUGGGACGGUACUGACGCUGAGACGCGAAAGCGUGGGGAGCGAACAGG